GAACGCUAGCGACAGGCCUAACACAUGCAAGUCGAGGGGCAGCACAAGGAGCAAUCUGAGGUGGCGACCGGCGCACGGGUGAGUAACACGUAUGCAACCUGCCUGUAAGCGGGGAAUAACCCGUUGAAAGACGGACUAAUACCGCAUAAUACUAAAUUACUGCAUGGUAAUUUAUUUAAACAUUUAUGGCUUACAGAUGGGCAUGCGCAUGAUUAGCUAGUUGGAGAGGUAACGGCUCCCCAAGGCAACGAUCAUUAGGGUUCUGAGAGGAAGGUCCCCCACACUGGUACUGAGACACGGACCAGACUCCUACGGGAGGCAGCAGUGAGGAAUAUUGGUCAAUGGACGAGAGUCUGAACCAGCCAAGUCGCGUGCAGGAAGAAUUGUCCUAUGGAUUGUAAACUGCUUUUGCAGGGGAAUAAAGUGCAUCACGUGUGAUGUUUUGUAUGUACUCUGCGAAUAAGGAUCGGCUAACUCCGUGCCAGCCGCCGC
rnacentral:rRNA from 1 species